GUAGGCUCUACAAUCCUGAUGAUGCGUCAGAAUCCUAUGGAGAGGAUAUUGCAGAUACAGAGACAGAAAGAUCUACUGAUGGUAGUGAUGAGGGUGAGUAUGAAGAUAGUUUUAUUGAUGAUGCUGAUCCAGAGGUCAUCCCAUCUUCUCCUGUAUCUAUUGAUGGAGUGGGUGAGGAGAUGUUGCAUAAGAGGAAACUUAAGAAUGAGAAGGCUAAAAAUAGACGACUUAGGAAAAAGUACCUGCCCUGUCAGUCUGACGAUGACUACACUUCACAGCAAC
rnacentral:misc_RNA from 1 species